rnacentral:rRNA from 1 species
UACGUAGGGCGCAAGCGUUGUCCGGAAUUAUUGGGCGUAAAGAGCUCGUAGGCGGUCUGUCGCGUCCGUUGUGAAAACUCGAGGCUCAACCUCGGGCUUGCAGUGGAUACGGGCAGACUAGAGUGCGGUAGGGGAGACUGGAAUUCCUGGUGUAGCGGUGGAAUGCGCAGAUAUCAGGAGGAACACCGGUGGCGAAGGCGGGUCUCUGGGCCGAUACUGACGCUGAGGCGCGAAAGCGUGGGGAGCAAACAGG